CAAAUGGAGAGGUCCUGAACUUGCUGUUGUCAAGGUCAUGAUCAGCAUUCCAGGAUCUAGGAUGACUUUAUCCUUGAACUAACAAAACAACACAAAACAAGCAAGCAAAAAACUGCGAGCACGUGACUACCACCGCCAUCACCACCUCUGCCACUGUGACUGCCACCUGUACCACUACCCAACACAAAACUCCACACACAAAAAUCUUGAAGGGACCACGAUCAUAGAGGGCCCAUACCCCCAUGGCAUCAGCAGUAUCACUGAGCAGCUCUGAACUCUGUGAACAGAUCUCUGCAGAGACCCCUCUGCUUGGACAUUUUGAGAGAUCAAGGAAUCUACCAGCUGACAAGAUUUCAUCUCAAGGCAGGAGGCUCACGAUGCUGUCAUGAAGUACACGUGGGGAAGAACUGCAGAUUCCUGACAGGUCUACAGCCCAAGCACAUGUAGCCAUUCUGUAGAGCCUUUGAAGAAGCAUUAGUGAGGAUUUGGAUUAUGCAAAACCAACAGGGAGGAAAAAGAAGAUGUGGAGGACUCAGGACCUUAAAGCUUCCUGCAUGCAGUUUGUUAAGUAGAGUGACAUGAAAGUCAGCUGUUUUGCUUCUGUGUUAUGUGGCAUAAGAGACUGAAUGGCCCUGAGAGUUCCAUAGCCA
rnacentral:sRNA from 1 species